AACGAACGCUGGCGGCAUGCCUAACACAUGCAAGUCGAACGAGACCUUCGGGUCUAGUGGCGCACGGGUGCGUAACGCGUGGGAACCUGCCCUUAGGUUCGGAAUAACUCCCCGAAAGGGGUGCUAAUACCGGAUAAUGUCUUCGCACCAAAGAUUUAUCGCCUUUGGAUGGGCCCGCGUUGGAUUAGCUAGUUGGUAGGGUAAAAGCCUACCAAGGCGACGAUCCAUAGCUGGUCUGAGAGGAUGAUCAGCCACACUGGGACUGAGACACGGCCCAGACUCGUACGGGAGGCAGCAGUGGGGAAUAUUGGACGAUGGGCGAAAGCCUGAUCCAGCAAUGCCGCGCGAGUGAUGAAGGCCUUAGGGUUGUAAAGCUCUUUUACCCGGGAUGAUAAUGACAGUACCGGGAGAAUAAGCUCCGGCUAACUCCGUG
rnacentral:rRNA from 1 species